UACGAAGGGGGCAAGCGUUGUUCGGAAUUAUUGGGCGUAAAGGGAGCGUAGGCGGUUCGGCAAGUCUUUUGUGAAAUCUCUGGGCUCAACCCAGAGUCUGCAAGGGAAACUGCCGGGCUGGAGUAUGGGAGAGGUGAGUGGAAUUCCCGGUGUAGCGGUGAAAUGCGUAGAUAAUCGGGAGGAACACCUGUGGCGAAAAGCGGCUCACUGGACCAUUACUGGACGCUGAGGCUCGAAAGCAGGGGAGCAAACAGAGUUAGA
rnacentral:rRNA from 1 species